rnacentral:rRNA from 1 species
GACGAACGCUGGCGGCGUGCUUAACACAUGCCAGUCGAACGGAAAGGCCCUGCUUUUGUGGGGUGCUCGAGUGGCGAACGGGUGAGUAACACGUGAGUAACCUGCCCUUGACUUUGGGAUAACUUCAGGAAACUGGGGCUAAUACCGGAUAGGAGCUCCUGCUGCAUGGUGGGGGUUGGAAAGUUUCGGCGGUUGGGGAUGGACUCGCGGCUUAUCAGCUUGUUGGUGGGGUAGUGGCUUACCAAGGCUUUGACGGGUAGCCGGCCUGAGAGGGUGACCGGCCACAUUGGGACUGAGAUACGGCCCAGACUCAUACGGGAGGCAGCAGUGGGGAAUAUUGCACAAUGGGCGGAAGCCUGAUGCAGCAACGCCGCGUGCGGGAUGACGGCCUUCGGGUUGUAAACCGCUUUCGCCUGUGACGAAGCGUGAGUGACGGUAAUGGGUAAAGAAGCACCGGCUAACUACGUG